GCAAGUCGAACGAGAACGGGUUAUAGCUUGCUAUAACUGUCAGCUAAGUGGCGCACGGGUGAGUAAUAUAUAGGUAACGUGCCUUCAAGAAGGGGAUAACAAUUGGAAACGAUUGCUAAUACCCUAUAUGCCUUUAAGACUUAAGUCUGCAAGGGAAAUAUUUAUAGCUUGAAGAUCGGCCUGUACAGUAUCAGUUAGUUGGUGAGGUAAUGGCUCACCAAGGCGACGAUCCCUAGCUGGUCUGAGAGGAUGAUC
rnacentral:rRNA from 1 species